rnacentral:rRNA from 1 species
UACGGGGGGGGCAAGCGUUGUUCGGAAUUACUGGGCGUAAAGGGCUCGUAGGUGGCCAACUAAGUCAGACGUGAAAUCCCUCGGCUUAACCGGGGAACUGCGUCUGAUACUGGAUGGCUUGAGUUUGGGAGAGGGACGCGGAAUUCCAGGUGUAGCGGUGAAAUGCGUAGAUAUCUGGAGGAACACCGGUGGCGAAGGCGGCGUCCUGGACCAACACUGACACUGAUGAGCGAAAGCCAGGGGAGACAAACCGGGAGUUAGAAAACCCC